rnacentral:tRNA from 1 species
GUCCCGGUAGCUCAGCUGGAUAGAGCAACGGUUUCCUAAACCGUAGGUCAGAGGUUCAAAUCCUCUCCGGGACGCCA